CCACCGCCUCCAUUUUGUCGGUAGAGGCAGAAGGGGAAGGUCGGUCGGGACGCUGAGGUUGCCUGCAGCUGUGUCGUCGGUGCUCGUGGGCUUCGCUCGUUCCGUGCCUCGUCUCUCCCUGGAAGGGGAGGGGGGCUUCGACGCCGAGCAGGAGCCGCCGCCGCCGUAGUCCCGGGUUCGAAGUCGCCAAGACUUCUCUCAAACUUGUGUGCUGAGGAGACUCAGAUGUUGGCCUCAGCUCCUAGGCUGAACUCAGCAGAUCGGCCCAUGAAAACUUCUGUAUUGAGACAAAGGAAAGGAUCUAUCAGAAAGCAACACCUAUUAUCCUGGGCGUGGCAGCAAGGAAGAGGACAGGUGGUGAAAAUCCUGCAAUCUGAAAAGCAGACUGAAAGGUGACAAAGAAGCUGAAGAUGGGUGGUGGAGAGAGGUAUAACAUUCCAGCCCCUCAGUCUAGAAAUGUUAGUAAGAACCAACAACAGCUUAGUAGACAGAAGACCAAGGAUCAGAAUUCCCAGAUGAAGAUUGUUCAUAAGAAAAAGGAAAGAGGACAUACCUAUAAUUCAUCAGCAGCUGCAUGGCAGGCCAUGCAAAGUGGGGGGAAGAACAAAAAUUUUCCAAAUAAUCAAAACUGGAACUCUAGCUUAUCAAGUCCCACCUUACUUUUUAAGUCUCAAACUAAUCAGAACUAUGCUGGAGCCAAAUUUAGUGAGCCGCCAUCACCAAGUGUUCUUCCUAAACCACCAAGCCACUGGGUUCCUGUUUCCUUUAAUCCUUCUGAUAAAGAAAUAAUGACAUUUCAACUUAAAACCUUACUUAAAGUACAGGUAUAAAAUGAAAGUAUUAAUGUGUUUAAAUUUAGUCAUAUUUAAGGAUAAUUGGCAAUUGUCUCAGACCAAAUUCACUAGGGAAUUUAAUCUGUAAAACUGCUAAUUAACGUAGAAAAUACAAUUAGACUUAACUGUUUUGUGUGUUAUGUGCACUGUGAUGGCAGAAUCAGUGCAACUUAACUAAAUUAUUGAUAAUUGUACUUCAUAUCCAUAUAAGUGUUCUCAACUGAGUAACCAUUCAAGUGAAACCAGUCAAGUUUAGAUUUGGGGAAUGGUAAAGGAAUCAACUUUUUCUAUUGCCUGUUGGGGGAAAAUAGUAAUUUAAGAUUAUCAUUCAUGGAUCAGCGGAUUGACUUGUUGAGAUCUGGUAAAUGUGAUUAUAAGCAUCCAGUUAAGACAUAACAGGGGUUGAAAACUAGUUGAAUAUUUGAAAGUUUAAUGUCCUAGAAACACCUAAACCAGUAAUAUGCCAACAAUCUGAUGCACUGCCAAAA